UACAGAGGGUGCAAGCGUUGUUCGGAAUUAUUGGGCGUAAGGCGCGUGUAGGCGGCUUUGCAAGUCGGGUGUGAAAGCCCUCAGCUUAACUGAGGAAGUGCGCCCGAAACUGCUUGGCUUGAGUACCGGAGAGGAUGGUGGAAUUCCCCAAGUAGAGGUGAAAUUCGUAGAUAUGGGGAGGAACACCGGUGGCGAAGGCGACCAUCUGGACGGAUACUGACGCUGAGACGCGAAAGCGUGGGUAGCAAACAGG
rnacentral:rRNA from 1 species